rnacentral:rRNA from 1 species
CCUACGGGAUGCAGCAGGCGCGAAAACUUUACAAUGCGGGCAACCGUGAUAAGGAAACCCCGAGUGCCAGCAUAGGCUGGCUGUCCGCCAGUGUAAAAAACUGGUGAAGAAAGGGCCGGGCAAGACCGGUGCCAGCCGCCGCGGUAAUACCGGCGGCUCGAGUGGUGGCCGCUUUUACUGGGCUUAAAGGGUCCGUAGCUUGAUCCGUGUGUCCCUUGAGAAAUCUAUCGGCUUAACUGAUAGGCGUUCAGGGGAAACUGCGGUUCUAGGGACCGGGAGAGGUGAGAGGUACUGCCGGGGUAGGAGUGAAAUCCUGUAAUCCCGGUGGGACGACCUAUAGCGAAGGCAUCUCACCAGAACGGCUCCGACAGUGAGGGACGAAAGCUGGGGGAGCAAACCGGAUUAGAUACCCUCGUAGUCC